GAGAUGUCAAAGAAGGCAAAUGUUACCUUCUUCUGUAUGGAUGUUACAUGCAGGUACUGGCCCUACCUUAACAAAGUAGCAGAGGGUUUACCAGAGCUUCUGCCAUUGACAGAAAUGAGGCCAUUUCUGAGCGUCAUGCAUGCCAAAGCCCAUACAGCAAAAUGCGAGGUGAGAUGGGGUGGCAGAAGCCAGGACGGAGCAGGG